rnacentral:lncRNA from 1 species
AGGGUGUCGGGGUGUCGGGGCGUCGUGUCGGGGUGUCGGGGUGUCGUGUAAGGGUGUCAGGGUGUCGUAGUGUCAUUUUCUUCUUCUUCCUAUUCUUCUUUUUUUCUCUUCUUUCAUUUAUUCUUCUUCCUCUUCUUCUUUUUCUUCUUCUUCUUCUUCUUCUUCUUCUUCUUUUUCUUCUUCUUCCUCUUCUUGCUUUUAUUUCUUUCUUCUUCUUGUUCUUCUUCUUCUUUUUCCUUCUCCUCCUCUUCUUUUCCUUUUUCCUCUUCUUCU